CUUCAGUGAACAUUCAACGCUGUCGGUGAGUUUGGAAUUAAAAUCAAAACCAUCGACCGUUGAUUGUACCCUAUAG
rnacentral:pre_miRNA from 1 species